rnacentral:rRNA from 1 species
UAAGCGGAGGAAAAGAAACUAACAAGGAUUCCCCUAGUAACGGCGAGUGAAGCGGGAAGAGCUCAAAUUUGAAAGCUGGCACCUUCGGUGUCCGCGUUGUAAUCUCGAGAAGUGUUUUCCGUGCUGGACCAUGUACAAGUUCCUUGGAAUAGGACGUCAUAGAGGGUGAAAAUCCCGUACUUGACAUGGACGCCCAGUGCUUUGUGAUACACUCUCCACGAGUCGAGUUGUUUGGGAAUGCAGCUCAAAAUGGGUGGUAAAUUCCAUCUAAAGCUAAAUAUUGGGGAGAGACCGAUAGCGAACAAGUACCGUGAGGGAAAGAUGAAAAGCACUUUGGAAAGAGAGUUAAACAGUACGUGAAAUUGUCGAAAGGGAAGCGCUUGAAGUUAGACAUGCUUGCCGGGAUUCAGCCUUGCUUUUGCUUGGUGCAUUUCCCGGUGUGCAGGCCAGCAUCAGUUUUGUUUGCCGGAUAAGGGUGAGAGGAAUGUGGCCCCUCGGGGUGUUAUAGCCUCUCACUGGAUACGGCGGAUGGGACUGAGGACCGCAGUGUGCCUUUAUGGCGGGCCUUCGGGCACCUUCACACUUAGGAUGCUGGCGUAAU